AAUGAUUAGGGUGAAGUCGUAACAAGGUAGCCGUAGGAGAACCUGCGGCUGGAUCACCUCCUUUCUAAGGAAA
rnacentral:rRNA from 1 species